GGCCGAGUGGCGGAAUGGCAGACGCACGGGAUUUAAAAUCCCGGGUCCGAUAAGGGCGUAUGGGUUCGACUCCCAUCUUGGCCA
rnacentral:tRNA from 1 species